rnacentral:rRNA from 1 species
AGUGAACGCUGGCGGUAGGCCUAACACAUGCAAGUCGAACGGCAGCACAGUAAGAGCUUGCUCUUACGGGUGGCGAGUGGCGGACGGGUGAGGAAUACAUCGGAAUCUACUUUUUCGUGGGGGAUAACGUAGGGAAACUUACGCUAAUACCGCAUACGACCUACGGGUGAAAGCAGGGGAUCUUCGGACCUUGCGCGAUUGAAUGAGCCGAUGUCGGAUUAGCUAGUUGGCGGGGUAAAGGCCCGCCAAGGCGACGAUCCGUAGCUGGUCUGAGAGGAUGAUCAGCCACACUGGAACUGAGACACGGUCCAGACUCCUACGGGAGGCAGCAGUGGGGAAUAUUGGACAAUGGGCGCAAGCCUGAUCCAGCCAUGCCGCGUGAGUGAAGAAGGCCUUCGGGUUGUAAAGCCCUUUUGUUGGGAAAGAAAAGCAGCAGGUUAAUACCCCGCUGUUCUGACGGUACCCAAAGAAUAAGCACCGGCUAACUUCGUG